GUUAUUCCUUAAAAAACAUGACAAUAGUGUUAGGAGUGUGACAAAAUUUGUAAAGGGUUAGUUUUGCUUUAGCAAGAAGAAAUGUUGCAUUUAUACAUAUUUAUGCAUUUAUGUGUAAAUAUUUAUAAUUAUGUUCUAUUACCCAUCAAGAAAAUUGGUGGUCAUUUUGAAAGUCAAUUGUGUGUUAGUGUAUCUGUCCGAGAACUGAUGGGGUAGAGAGAAAGUCAAAAAGAAAAGCAAGAAAGAACUAGGGAAAAUUUGGAUGUGAUCUAACGACAAAAUUUUUAAAAAGAUCAGUUAUAUGAAUCAUAAAAAGUGAGAGAGAAGAAAAACUUCCGUCUUAAUUUGAUUUUCAUUUGACAGAAAAAGUUUUCCUUUAAAAAACAUGUCAAUAAUGUCAGGAGUGUGACAAAAUUUGUAAAGGUUAGUUUUGCUCUAGCAAGAAGAAAUAUUGCAUUUAUACAUAUUAAUAGCAUUUAUGUGUAAAUAUUUAUAAUUAUGUUCUAUUACCCAUCAAGAAAAUUGGUGGUCAUUUUGAAAGUCAAUUGUGUGCUAGUUUAUCUGUCCGAGAACUGAUGCGGUAGAGAAAGAAAGAAAGAACUAGGAAAAAUUUGGAUGCGAUCUAACGACAAAAUUAUUAAAAAUAUCAGUAAUAUGAAUCAUAAAAAGUGAGAGAAGAAAGACUUCGGUCUUAAUUUCAUUUUCAUUUGACAGAAAAAAGUUUUCCUUUGAAAAACAUGUCAAUAAUGUCAGGAGUGUGACAAAAUUUGUAAAGGUUAGUUUUCCUUUAGCAAGAAGAAAUAUUGCAUUUAUACAUAUUAAUGCAUUUGUGUGUAAAUAUUUAUAAUUAUGUUCUAUAUCCCAUCAAGAAAAUUGGUGGUCAUUUUGAAAGUCAAUUGUGUGUUAGUGUAUCUGUCCGAGAACUAAUGAGGAAAGAAAAACAAGAAAGAACCAGGAGAAAUUUGGAUGCAAUCUUACGACAAAAUUAUUAAAAAGAUCAGUAAUAUGAAUCAUAAAAAGUGAGAGAGAAGAAAAACUUCCGUCUUAAUUUGGUUUUCAUUUGACAGCAAAAGUUUUUCUUAAAAAAACAUGUCAAUAAUGUCAGGAUUGUGAAAAAAUUUGUAAAGGUUAGUUUUGCUUUAGCAAGAAGAAAUAUUGCAUUUAUACAUAUUAAUAGCAUCUAUGUGUAAAUAUUUAUAAUUAUGUUCAAUUAGUGCUCAUUUUGAUAGUCCUGACAAUUGUGUGUUAGUGUCCACUCAAAUCACUGGUAUGACUUAUCAACAAUCAUUAUUAUUAGCAAUCUUUAAUACUUUCUCUGUAUUCAAUGGUGUUUAGUGAGUCUUCUGCAAAGAUGUUAUUUCAAACAUUAUCAGUAUUAGGUAUAAUGAUAUUUAUUUAAGAAAAAAUUCUUUCAUGCCAUUUUCUAUGCUCAUUUUAACAUGGGUAGGCAUUAUAUUUGUCAAUAUCUUAAUACUGAGUUUUAGUGAGGUAUUACAUGUUUACAAAUAUAAUGCCUACCCAUGUUAAAAUGAACAUAGAGCAUGGCAUGAUAGAAUUGUUUCAAUUCUAAUAAGAUUAUCUUGAAACAUUUGUACUUAGAAGUGGGCUUAUAAUACAUGGCCAAAGUGUCGCCAAUUUGAUUUGAUGUACCAAAAUCGUUGAAGAAAAACAGUUUAACAAUAAAAAAAGGAUAGAAACAUUCAAACUUUAAGAAAUGUUUUUAUUUGAUUUCCUUGCGAGCAACAUCAACAAAAGUGUCAAUUUUUAUCUCUGUUGUUUAAAAUUCAUCUGACGUUGCAUUUUCGAUUGAUACGUCAAUCACGUGCACCCCAUGUUUUAUUUGAUUAGAAUAUGGCUUUAUAUCUAAAGCUAAAGAAGAACCUCAUAUAAGAAUUAAAAAUAGUCCAUUAAUUGUAGUUCGAUUUGGUACUGGAAAUUGCUUGUGUAUACAAAAUAAUAGAGGUCGACCAAUCUGUCAAAGCAAUCUUGAUUCAUUUAGCAAGGAUAAUUUGUCUAGUCCUAUAAAAGGCAUAGCUGUCAAUUUGGAUGAAAGUUAUCAUUUUUAUACGACCGCAAAAAUUUUAAUUUUUUGGUCGUAUAUUGCUAUCACGUUGGCGUCGUCGUCGUCGUCCGAAUACUUUUAGUUUUCGCACUCUAACUUGAGUAAAAGUGAAUAGAAAUCUAUGAAAUUUAAACUCCAGGUUUAUAACCACAGAAAGAAGGUUGGGAUUGUCUUUGGGAGUUUUGGUCCCAACAUUUUAGGAAUUGGGGGCCAAAAAGGGCCCAAAUAAGCAUUUUCUUGGUUUUUACACUAUAACUUUAGUUAAAGUAAAUAGAAAUCUAUGAAAUUUUGACACAAGGUUUAUGACCACAAAAGGCAGGUUGGGAUUGAUUUUGGGAGUUUUUGUUUCAACUAUUUAGGAAUAAGGGGCCAAAAAAGGGCCCAAAUAAGCAUUAUUCUUGGUUUUUGCACAAUAACUUUAGUAUAAAUGAAUAGAAAGCAAUGGAAUUUAAACACAAGGUUUAUGAACACAAAAGGAAGGUUGGGAUUGAUUUUUGGUAGUUGAGAUCCCAACAGUUUAGGAAUUAGGGGCCAAAAAGGGGCCCAAAUAAGCAUUUUUCUUGGUUUUCGCACCAUAACUUUAGUAUAAGUAAAUAGAAAUCUAUGAAAUUUAAACACAAGGUUUAUGACCAUAAAAAGAAGGUUGGGAUUGAUUUUGGGAGUUUUGGUCCCAACAGUUUGGGAAUAAGGGGCCCAAAGGGUCCAAAACUAAACUUUGAUUGAUUUCAUCAAAAAUUGAAUAAUUGGGGUUCUUUGAUAUGCCGAAUCUAACUGUGUAUGAAGAUUCUUAAUUUUUGGUCCCGUUUUCAAAUUGGUCUACAUUAAGGUCCAAAGGGUCCAAAAUCAAACUUAGUUUGAUUUUAAUAAAAAUUGAAUCCUUGGGGUUCUUUGAUAUGCUGAAUCUAAAAAUGUACUUAGAUUUUUGAUUAUAAGCCCAGUUUUCAAGUUGGUCCAGAUCGGGGCCCAAAAUUAAACUUUGUUUGAUUUCAUCAAAAAUUGAAUAAUUGGGGUUCUUUGAUAUGCCAAAUCUAACUGUGUUAGUAAAUUCUUAAUUUUUGGUCCCUUUUACAAAUUGGUCUUCUUUAAGGUCCAAAGGGUCCAAAAUUAAACUAAGUUUGAUUUUAACAAAAAGUAAAUUCUUGGACUUCUUUGAUAUGCUGAAUCUAAACAUGUACUUUGAUUUUUGAUUAUGGGCAAAGUUUUUAAGUUGGUCCAAAUCAGGAUUCAAAAUUAUUAUAUUAAGUAUUGUGCAAUAGCAAGAAAUUUUCAAUUGCACAGUAUUGUGCAAUAGCAAGAAAUUUUCAAUUGCACAGUAUUGUUCAAUAGCAAGAAAUCUUCAAUUGACAGUAUUGCGCAAUAGCAAGAAAUAUCUCAUUGCACAAUAUUGUGCAAUAGCAAGAAAUUUUCAAUUGGAGUUAUCUUUCUUUGUCCAGAAUAGAUAUUUGUGCAAUAGUAGUUGAAUCAACUUAAAUCAUUGAUUUAUACAAUAUACAAUGUAUUUUCACUUUUACUACCAACUGAUAAAUUAACACAAACUUUACCAUUCAGUGAUAACAAGCACUUUUUUUUACAUUUUAAUAUUUUAUGAUGUAUUCAAAUGAGCAUUUAUUGUUGCAAACUCCAUUAGAAAUUUGAAUUGAUAUCAGUUUUGGAAUAAGGGAAAGGGGGAUGUGAAAACAAAAUUGGGGCGGGGGUCAAUUUUUCUCAUUUCAGAUUUCAAAGGCAAAAAUUUUUUUUAAGUUCAUUAGACCACAUUCAUUCUGUGUCAGAAACCUAUGCUGUGUCAACUAUUUAAUCACAAUCCAAAUUUAGAGCUGUAUCCAGCUUGAAUGUUGUGUCCAUACUUUCCCCAACCGUUCAGGGUUCAACCUCUGCGGUCGUAUAAAGCUGCGCCCUACGGAGCAUCUGGUUAGUUCUUAUCGGCUGACCUUCAUUUAAGAAGUAAUACAUUGUUUGUUUCCCAAACAGAAAGGGUCCAUUUUUUCCUUAGGGACUGCAUAGACACUUAAAGUUAUAGGGGAUUUAAAAGACACAUAAAUUAUUGACAUUUUUUAUGCAUUGGGCACGACAGGAAGUUGUUGCUGUCUGACCUAUGCUGACAUUAACAAACACACUGUUUUGCUUCCAUUUCUUCAGCUAAUGAUGGCUGAAACAAUUGAUAUGAACACUUUGGAAAAUACAAGUUAUAAAUGUAGUAUAAACAAUCAUUCUAGCCUUCUUGUUCGAUUAAUGAUUGCAGAGAAUGACUUUGAAAGGGCAACAAAUACAAUGAAGAAAUGGCAGAGGGCAACGUGGUUUUUAGUAGCUCUGGUUGCAUUAUUAAUUGUAUCAUUCAUAUUCAUAUUUACACUUUAUUGCUGAAAGGUUUCAAAUACAUUGUAUUUCAUAUUUCUAAAUAAAUAUGUUCACUGCAA